UACGGAAGGAGCAGUGGGGAAUAUUGCACAAUGGGCGAAAGCCUGAUGCAGCUAUGCCGCGUGUAUGAAGAAGGCCUUAGGGUUGUAAAGUACUUUCAUCGGGGAGGAAAAAACAAAACUAAUAAUUUUAUUUCUUGACGUUACCCGAAAAAGAAGCACCGGCUAACUCCGUGCCAGCAGCCGCGGUAAUACGGAGGGUGCUAGCGUUAAUCAGAAUUACUGGGCGUAAAGAGCACGUAGGUGGUUUUUUUAAGUCAGAUGUGAAAUCCCUGGGCUUAACCUAGGAACUGCAUUUUGAAACUGAAAUACUAGAGUAUCGUAGAGGGAGGUAGAAUUCUAGGUGUAGCGGUGAAAUGCGUAGAUAUCUGGAGGAAUACCUGUGGCGAAAGCGGCCUCCUAAACGAAUACUGACACUGAGGGUGCGAAAGCGUGGGGAGCAAACAGGGAUUAGAUACC
rnacentral:rRNA from 1 species